rnacentral:lncRNA from 1 species
UAGAUGAAUUGGCUAGUGAGUCCUCUUCUUGCGGUUGCAUUGUAAAUAUCAUGUAUCUUGUCUUUUGAAUUCUACGUUGAAUAGAAAAAGAAAAGAGAAAAGAUGAAAAAAAAAGAGAAAAAAUACAGAAAAAUGAGGAAAAUUAAAAAAAAAUUGUGUGAAUAAUGGAGUCAAGAAGAGGAUUGAAUUAGAGGUUUUGGGUGUCAUUUGACUGUGUUUACACUUGUUCCCCAUUGCUCCUCUAUUCCUUUUGGUUUAUAGCUUCUUAUCCAGAUGUAUCCUCCCUUGUCCUUGGCCCCAUUACAACCAUGAAAAGACCUUUUGAUUUGAACAUGCAUAUGUGUUUGAGUGUUGAUAUUAGAGGCUUGCCAAGUCUAUCUGUGUGUGCUUUCUUG